GGCCACAGCUUAGUGGAAGAGCAUCUGCUUUUCAUUCAAAAGGUCCAGGUUCAAGCCCCGGCAGCUUCA